GGAAUAUUGCACAAUGGGCGGAAGCCUGAUCCAGCCAUGCCGCGUGUGUGAAGAAGGCCUUCGGGUUGUAAAGCACUUUUGUCCGGAAAGAAAAGUUCCCGGUUAAUACCCGGGGAUCCUGACGGUACCGGAAGAAUAAGCACCGGCUCACUUCGUGCCAGCAGCCGCGGUAAUACGAAGGGUGCAAGCGUUACUCGGAAUUACUGGGCGUAAAGCGUGCGUAGGUGGUUUGUUAAGUCUGAUGUGAAAGCCCUGGGCUCAACCUGGGAAUGGCAUUGGAUGCUGGCGGGCUACAGUGCGGUAGAGGGUAGUGGAAUUCCCGGUGUAGAAGUGAAAUGCGUAGAGAUCGGGAGGAACAUCUGUGGCGAAGGCGACUACCUGGACCAGCACUGACACUGAGGCACGAAAGCGUGGGGAGCAAA
rnacentral:rRNA from 1 species